CGCUGGCGGCAGGCCUAACACAUGCAAGUCGAACGGUAACAGGAAGAAGCUUGCUUCUUUGCUGACGAGUGGCGGACGGGUGAGUAAUGUCUGGGAAACUGCCUGAUGGAGGGGGAUAACUACUGGAAACGGUAGCUAAUACCGCAUAACGUCGCAAGACCAAAGAGGGGGACCUUCGGGCCUCUUGCCAUCGGAUGUGCCCAGAUGGGAUUAGCUAGUAGGUGGGGUAACGGCUCACCUAGGCGACGAUCCCUAGCUGGUCUGAGAGGAUGACCAGCCACACUGGAACUGAGACACGGU
rnacentral:rRNA from 1 species